rnacentral:rRNA from 1 species
AUCGAUGAAGAACGCAGUGAAAUGCGAUAAGUAAUGUGAAUUGCAGAAUCUCGUGAAUCAUCGAAUCUUUGAACGCACAUUGCGCCCUAUGGUAUUCCGUAGGGCAUGCCUGUCUGAGCGUUAGUUCCCCACACACUCAAGUAUCCUUUAUUUGGGAUUCUUGGAAUGAUUUGGAGAGGUGUCUCGUCAUAGAGAUGCCCUCCAGAAAUUCAUAGGCAGUAUGGUUUGCACCGGAACCAGACGUAAUAAUAAUAAAAUCGUUUGUUUGGGAAUAAUUGUGCUUGCCUUAACCCACCCAUUUCUCUCAUUUGGGUGACCUCAGAUCAGGUAGGGAUACCCGCUGAACUUAAGCAUAUCAAUAAGCGGAGGAAAAGAAACCAACAGGGAUUGCCCUAGUAACGGCGAGUGAAGCGGCAAAAGCUCAGAUUUGAAAUCUGUCGCCAUUUUGGCGGCCGAGUUGUAGUCUGUAGAGGUGUAUUCGAGUGUGGCUUUGGCUUAAGUUCCUUGGAACAGGGCGUCAUAGAGGGUGAGAACCCCGUUAACGGCCUUUGUCUUAUGCUCAUGUGAAUCUCCUUCAACGAGUCGAGUUGUUUGGGAAUGCAGCUCUAAAUGGGUGGUAAAUUCCAUCUAAAGCUAAAUACUGGCAAGAGACCGAUAGCGCACAAGUAGAGUGAUCGAAAGAUGAAAAGAACUCUGAACAGAGAGUUAAAUAGUACGUGAAAUUGUUGAAAGGGAAGCACUUCCGACCAGACGCACUUGCAGCCGAUCAAUCUUCAUUCUUGAGGGUGCACUCGGUUGUCUGUGGGUCAGCAUCAGUUAUGGCGGUGGGAAAAAGACUAAGGGAAUGUGGCUCCUUUCGGGGAGUGUUAUAACUCUUGGUGCAAUGCUGCCUGCUGUGACUGAGGACCGCGCUUCGGUGAGGAUGCUGGCAUAAUGGUCGUAAGUGACCCGUCUUGAAACACG